CCUACGGGAGGCAGCAGUGGGGGAUAUUGCACAAUGGGGGGAACCCUGAUGCAGCGACGCCGCGUGGGUGAAGGAGCGUUUCGGCGCGUAAAGCCCUAUCGGCAGGGAAGAAGAUGACGGUACCUGACUAAGAAGCCCCGGCUAACUACGUGCCAGCAGCCGCGGUAAUACGUAGGGGGCAAGCGUUAUCCGGGUUUACUGGGGGUAAAGGGAGCGUAGACGGCGAUGCAAGGCUGAAGGGAAAGGCGGGGGGCCAACCCCCGGACUGCUUUGGAAACUGGAUGGCUGGAGUGCAGGAGAGGUAAGUGGAAUGCCUGGUGUAGCGGUGAAAUGCGUAGAUAUUAGGCGGAACACCGGUGGCGAAGGCAGCUUACUGGACUGUAACUGACGUUGAGGCUCGAAAGCGUGGGGAGCAAACAGGAUUAGAUACCCGUGUAGUC
rnacentral:rRNA from 1 species